rnacentral:rRNA from 1 species
UACGUAGGGUGCAAGCGUUGUCCGGAAUUAUUGGGCGUAAAGAGCUCGUAGGUGGUCUGUCGCGUCUGGUGUGAAAACUCGGGGCUUAACCCCGGGCCUGCAUCGGGUACGGGCAGACUAGAGUGUGGUAGGGGAGACUGGAAUUCCUGGUGUAGCGGUGAAAUGCGCAGAUAUCAGGAGGAACACCGGUGGCGAAGGCGGGUCUCUGGGCCGUAACUGACGCUGAGGAGCGAAAGCGUGGGGAGCGAACAGG